GAGUAUAAUUUGUUUAAAAGAAUUGGCUAAGCCCAAGCAAGGUAACUAAGCCUUUCAAAAUAUCACACGAGAGCCCAAUAGCAAAAGGUCAGGCCUAACAGCCAUGGCAGCCUGCAAUAUCACCUUCAACCCUAUCUAAGAAUUAUUGAAUUAUCUAUUGAAUUUAUUAGUUUGAGCCCAACUUAUUUACCCAAAGUGCAUAGUGCAUCUUCAUAUAGCAGAACUUUUCUAUAAAUAAUAAUAAUAAUAAUAAAAUAAUUUGUUCGUUUUAAUUUGCUCAAAACGACGUCGUUCUAAACUGCAUGCUGCAUUACCCUUUUGCAAAAAACACCCGACAUAGAGUCUGACUCUUAUUCGGGUCCUCCAACCUUAUAGUUGCAUUAACAACCCGCUUACCAAUUUCCCCGAGCUAUUGGCUGGUGCACUAUCCUUCUUCAAUGUAGAACGAAACAAAAGAAACACAUACAGGAAGAAACCAUUUUUGCUUCUUCAACCUUUCGAUUGCAAAGCACAAAUGAAGUCGAUGAUAACCAAAAAGAUUCAUACCUCUUUAGUCAUUUGCCCGUCUUGCUAGCAAAAACACGCCAUCUUCAAGUUAAGCGAUGGCAGAGAUAGAUCUAGAACAU